CCUACGGGGGGCAGCAGUGGGGAAUAUUGGACAAUGGGGGGAACCCUGAUCCAGCCAUGCCGCGUGUGUGAAGAAGGCCCUCGGGUUGUAAAGCACUUUCAGUGAGGAAGAACGCCUGGUGGUUAAUACCCAUCAGGAAAGACAUCACUCACAGAAGAAGCACCGGCUAACUCCGUGCCAGCAGCCGCGGUAAUACGGAGGGUGCGAGCGUUAAUCGGAAUUACUGGGCGUAAAGCGCGCGUAGGUGGCUUGAUAAGCCGGUUGUGAAAGCCCCGGGCUCAACCUGUGAACGGCAUCCGGAACUGUCAAGCUAGAGUGCAGGAGAGGAAGGUAGAAUUCCCGGUGUAGCGGUGAAAUGCGUAGAGAUCGGGAGGAAUACCAGUGGCGAAGGCGGCCUUCUGGACUGAAACUGACACUGAGGUGCGAAAGCGUGGGUAGCAAACAGGAUUAGAUACCCUUGUAGUC
rnacentral:rRNA from 1 species